rnacentral:lncRNA from 1 species
AUCCGUUUGCUGGUAGAACGUUCAGUUGAAUCAGUUGGAAAUUUCAAGGUUAAUGAUGCAACCCACGUUGAUGAUGAAGAUGAGGUGCAAUCAGCUGUAACCGAGGUAAGUUUCAUCAAUCUAGACAAUGUAGAGUUUCUGUUGUAAUGCAUCCAUCAAUUAUUUUUUGUUCAUACAAUCAUUUGAUGCAGGCCACUGGAGAUGCUGAAAAACAGGCCUCUACAGUCGAUGAAGAUGAAGAUGAGGUGCAAUCAGCUGUAACCGAGGUAAGUUUCAUCAAUCUAGACAAUGUGGAAUUUCUGUUGAAAUGCAUCCAUCAAUUAUGUUUAGUUCAUACAAUCAUUUGAUGCAGGCCACUGGGGAUGCUGAAAAACAGGCCUCUACAGAUGAUGAAGAUGAAGAUGAGGUGCAAUCAGCUGUAACCGAGGUAAGUUUCAUCAAUCUAGACAAUGUGGAAUUUCUGUUGAAAUGCAUACAUCAAUUAUGUUUUGUUCAUACAAUCAUUUGAUGCAGGCCACUGGAGAUGCUGAAAAACAGGCCUCUGCAGUUGAUGAUCUGCAGAAUGAAAGCCCACUUGCAAUUUCCAAGACCAACAAGGAAAUUGCUGAAGAGUCUUCUUCAAAUCUGAGGUUACGAGUGAAAAGGGAAGCUGACUCCGGGAGCGGUCAGAUAGCAUCGCCAGCUUUUCCAGCUGCACCUCCUGCACAUCAUGGACACAAAUCAUUAUCAAUUUAUGUCAGCAUUUUCCUCCUCCUGAUCUUGUUCAUAGCUUUUGCUGGGAUGUGGAGAUCCCUCGAGUCUGUGAAGUUGCUCUGGUUACAGGAUGGUGCAAGUGAUAAUUUGUAGUGCAUGUUUUCUUUCAACGAGGAGCAGCAUAGUUUUGUAGAUGGAAUUUAAACACUUAAAAGGCAUAUAUAACGGAGGUCACUGCUUGCUACUAGUGUGUGUAUACUAUGACCUCUUGUUCAUGUAAACUUGGAUUAGUUU